AUGCAUUGCAGUUCACAGCACCUGGUCACCUUUCAGACAAACCACCUUACUUACUUCCUAUUCUACAGCUGCGGAUUUCCUAUGCAUAGAAUCCUCCUCUGGGACUCACCAUACUGUGUGUGCAGGCUCCACUGGGCCCUCCAUGUUGCCUUGAGAGAUCUGAGGACUGGUGCGACAAUACUGAUACACCUGUUUCUCCUGCUGCAACUGGUAAAGUCCUUUGUCUCUGACUCAAGAGUCCCACGUCAGCAUCCAUGGAACUGCGACAGGCUUACUUAUCAACUUGUAUGGUUUUUUGUUGGAAGUUAUCCUGCUUCUGCGAUGUCAAAUUUAUUGAAAUUUGAAGCUGAAAGUAUGAUUCUGAGACAAGGACACGUACCCUUGAAAUACUACUUGGUUCGUGCUGGACAUUUAAAGGUCAUGUCAAGUAAUAUAAGCAUGAACAAAAAUACCAACUCUGAAAUUUUAAGUGCGUUUGGAGAAGGCAACUUCAUAGGGGAUUUUUAUGGUAUUCUUGUACAGACAGUACAACAAUAUCAAGAAACAUGCAACUUCCUAAGGUAGGCAUUUUCUGUAGUUAGUUCAUACAGUUUUAAAAGACUCAUUAACAAAUUCAUGUGAUAGUUUUUACUUGAAGUUCGGAAUAAUCUCCAACAAAUGUUUACUGUGGUGGAAGGCAGCAGGGGGUGUUGAGAAACACAUGUGCCUUGAAGACACACAGACCUGGAUCUGAGUCCCAAGGUUAUCACUUCUUAGUGAUGCACAUUUAGGAAAGUAAAUAUACCUUUUACCCUCAGUUUUUCUUUUUUCCAUAUAUAAAAUGGGAAAGUGAGAGUAGAUCAUAAGGAACAAAAUGUGUCUAAGUACAUCAGAUUCAGAAGUCAAGGUAGGGAGAAUCAAGGUGAAUGGGUAUUUUCAAGAGAAGCUUCACCUAUCAAUCUUUAGUAAAGACUAUUGCUCUCACAGUGGCAUAGUCAGAUCACCACCUUAAUAGCAUCUGAGAAACAGGAAAACCACUGUUUGUUUGCAAAAGAUUAACCAUACCAUGCGGAGAAGGCAAUGGCACCCCACUCCUGUACUCUUGCCUGGAAAAUCCCAUGGACGGAGGAGCCUGGUAGGCUGCAGUCCAUGGGGUCACGAAGAGUCAGACACGACUGAGUGAGUUUACUUUCACUUUUCACUUUCAUGCAUUGGAGAAGGAAAUGGCAACCCACUCCAGUGUUCUUGCCUGGAGAAUCCCAGGGACGGGGGAGCCUGGUGGGCUGCUGUCUAUGGGGUCACACAGGGUCUGACACGACUGAAGCGACUUAGCAGCAGCAACCAUACCAUGAUAUGUAAUGUCAAUUCUAAAUGACACUGAAGUGAAGAAUAACUACUGGUAUUAUGGGUACAUGUGAAUUCUGUGUUAUUACUUGAAUGGAAUAGCACUAUUGUAGCUUGGGAGUUUGCUUCAAAAGUGAUAUUUUCCCUUCCAAGGAAAAUAAAAAAAUCCUUUUCAAGGCA
rnacentral:lncRNA from 1 species